rnacentral:rRNA from 1 species
UACGGGGGGGGCAAGCGUUGUUCGGAAUUACUGGGCGUAAAGGGUUCGUAGGUGGCUAACUAAGUCAGACGUGAAAUCCCUCAGCUUAACUGGGGAACUGCGUCUGAUACUGGUAUGGCUUGAGUGCAGGAGAGGAACGCGGAAUUCCAGGUGUAGCGGUGAAAUGCGUAGAUAUCUGGAGGAACACCGGUGGCGAAGGCGGCGUUCUGGACUGCAACUGACACUGAGGAACGAAAGCCAGGGGAGCAAACGGG